rnacentral:rRNA from 1 species
AGCUUGUUGGUGGGGUGAUGGCCUACCAAGGCGACGACGGGUAACUGGUCUGAGAGGAUGAUCAGUCACACUGGAACUGAGACACGGUCCAGACUCCUACGGGAGGCAGCAGUGGGGAAUAUUGGACAAUGGGCGAAAGCCUGAUCCAGCCAUGCCGCGUGUGUGAAGAAGGUCUUCGGAUUGUAAAGCACUUUAAGUAUGGGCGAAGCUCCGUGGUUUUCUGCGGGGUGACGGUAGGUACAGAAGAAGCACCGGCUAACUUCGUGCCAGCAGCCGCGGUAAUACGAAGGGUGCGAGCGUUGUCCGGAAUUACUGGGCGUAAAGAGCGCGUAGGUGGUUUGUCGCGUUGUCCGUGAAAACCCACAGCUCAACUGUGGGCGUGCGGGCGAUACGGGCAGACUGGAGUACUGUAGGGGUGAGUGGAAUUCCUGGUGUAGCGGUGAAAUGCGUAGAUAUCAGGAGGAACACCAGUGGCGAAGGCGGGUCUCUGGACAGUAACUGACGCUGAGGAGCGAAAGCGUGGGGAGCAAACAGGAUUAGAUACCCUGGUAGUCCACGCCGUAAACGAUGGGUACUAGGUGUUGGUUUCCUUCCUUUAGGGAUCCGUGCCGUAGCUAACGCAUUAAGUACCCCGCCUGGGGAGUACUGGCGCAAGGCUAAAACUCAAAUGAAUUGACGUGGGCCCGCUCAAGCGGGGGAGCUUGUGGAUUAAUUCGAAGCAACGCGAAGAACCUUACCUGG